CGCUUUUAUACCAGCCCACCUCAUCACGGCCACCAGCAGGGCUCAUUACCAGCAGGCAAAUGACAGCAGAUAAACACCUCUAUGCUGCUACACAUGCAAGGACAUGUCGUGACUCAACCACUUUCAGCUUCAACCACACGUGUCCCUCUUCGGUGUCUGUCUGUUCCUCUCCACCCUCAGUUCCUGUCUCACCAGCAUCAUCCACAACCACCUCAGCACCCUUGGGAAGCUGUUUCACUUCUGUGCCAAACUGGGUAGACAGUUUCCAGAUACCAUGGCAGAAGCUACCUGAAGAGAUAAUGCAGAGUUUGGAAAGGCAGAAAAGACCCAGUCCACGACGAGAGAUGGUCAGGAUUGUGGUUUCUGAAAUUAUGAAGGUGUGAAACAAUCUAACCAAGCGCAACACUACAGAGAUAGGCAAAAGAAUGGUGGCCAAGUAUCCAAAAUCUGUACAGGAUGUCAUUAAGGGUGUUGUUGGAGCUGGGUAUCAUUCGUCAUUCAUCAUUCAUAGUAAAGCAACUUCAAGCGCGGGUUGAAAAUGUUAAACGACUCAACACACCAAAGAUAAUGAAACGCAAGGCAGCAUCAGAUGAGGGUGACACCGAAGAAAUUCCAGAUAUCUAGAAAGCAAGUUCAGGACACAUAUAGCUGUAUCAACUGGGAACUAAAAUAUUUGCCACUCUCUGAGACUGCAAAGAGUCAGCAAAAAACAAAAAAAGAGCGAAUGAAGAAGAUGUUUGAAGAGAUGAGCUGCAAUAUCAAUGAUGUGAAAGAAUUAGUACACUCAACCUUUUACACGGA